AAGUCGUAACAAGGUAACCGUAGGUGAACCUGCGGAAGGAUCAUUAUCACGUGUAUCCAACGUAUCAACCAACCGCGAACUUGUUUCCCCUCCCUGGCGGCAAAACUGCGCUGAGGCGUGCGAGAUCUUGUGUGGGCAGCGUCGCUUGCGGCGUUGCGAACUCGUACAUCCAACUGAGCGGCUUCGGCCGUUCGACGGCGCAAACUUGUCUCCAGGCUUCUUUUGCCCGCUCGGCUCCCAUCAAGGCCGGGUGAGCAGAAACAUUACUAACAAUAAUCACCCUUUUUUGCUAGUUGGCUUUAUUUAUGUUCUUCGUCAUGCGCAAGCAUGAAGUCGACACGUUUAUUAAUUGAACGUUAAAUAUACAACUCUUAGCAAUGGAUAUCUUGGUUCUC
rnacentral:misc_RNA from 1 species